AGCAGAUGCAGGUCUCAUCGGUCCUACAGAAGAUUUCCAGAACUCUCUGAUGUCUUGUGCAGAUUCUCUCAUGGAGGUUUCUAAUCGGCUCCUUCAGUUUGUGUGUCUUCAGUGCUUCAGAGACCCUGUGAGGUUGGAGAUGAGUCUCACAGUAGGAGGCCAUGCAGGUCAGGCAGGUCUUGACGGCGCUCUGUUCUGGCCCAGGACACACAUCACAGAGGACAGAGCCAGGCCCCAUGUUGCUCUGAGAUGUCGAGUCA